rnacentral:rRNA from 1 species
GACGAACGCUGGCGGCGUGCCUAAUACAUGCAAGUCGAACGAGAGCAACCGGUGCUUGCACUGGUCAAUCUAGUGGCGAACGGGUGAGUAACACGUGGGUAACCUGCCCAUCAGAGGGGGAUAACAUCCGGAAACGGAUGCUAAAACCGCAUAGGUCUUCGAACCGCAUGGUUUGAAGAGGAAAAGAGGCGCAAGCUUCUGCUGAUGGAUGGACCCGCGGUGCAUUAGCUAGUUGGUGAGGUAACGGCUCACCAAGGCCGUGAUGCAUAGCCGACCUGAGAGGGUGAUCGGCAACAUUGGGACUGAGACACGGCCCAAACUCCUACGGGAGGCAGCAGUAGGGAAUCUUCCGCAAUGGACGCAAGUCUGACGGAGCAACGCCGCGUGAGUGAAGAAGGUUUUCGGAUCGUAAAACUCUGUUGUUAGAGAAGAACAAGUGCUAGAGUAACUGUUAGCGCCUUGACGGUAUCUAGCCAGAAAGCCACGGCUAACUACGUG